rnacentral:rRNA from 1 species
AUUGAACGCUGGCGGCAGGCUUAACACAUGCAAGUCGAGCGGUAGCACAGGGGAGCUUGCUCCCUGGGUGACGAGCGGCGGACGGGUGAGUAAUGUCUGGGAAACUGCCUGAUGGAGGGGGAUAACUACUGGAAACGGUAGCUAAUACCGCAUAACGUCGCAAGACCAAAGAGGGGGACCUUCGGGCCUCUUGCCAUCAGAUGUGCCCAGAUGGGAUUAGCUAGUAGGUGGGGUAAUGGCUCACCUAGGCGACGAUCCCUAGCUGGUCUGAGAGGAUGACCAGCCACACUGGAACUGAGACACGGUCCAGACUCCUACGGGAGGCAGCAGUGGGGAAUAUUGCACAAUGGGCGCAAGCCUGAUGCAGCCAUGCCGCGUGUGUGAAGAAGGCCUUCGGGUUGUAAAGCACUUUCAGCGAGGAGGAAUGUGGUGAGCUUAAUACGUUCAUCAAUUGACGUUACUCGCAGAAGAAGCACCGGCUAACUCCGUG